rnacentral:lncRNA from 1 species
GCUCGUUGAACUUAGUUUGCCGAAUGCCUUAGAUGGCAUUCCAACUGCUUUAUCUAUGGGUGGUUUUUUUUUACUUUUUUUUUUUUACAUAUAAAGCUUUUUAGAUGUGGUGUGAUGGCCAGUGAUACAACUUUCCACCAAAGUUUAAAUGAAGUGGGUGAAUAAAGCAAUUAUUAUAGUCCAAUGUACAACAUUUAACAGUGAGGAAAACCUAUACCAUAUAGUCGGCUUUAAAAG